GGUUCGGUGGUGUAGGGGUUAUCACGUCUGUCUUACAUGCUUUUGGAAUUGCAUUGUAUCACAGGAGGUCCCCGGUUCGAGACCGGGUCGAACCA